rnacentral:rRNA from 1 species
ACUCAAAUGAAUUGACGGGGGCCCGCACAAGCGGUGGAGCAUGUGGUUUAAUUCGAUGCUAAGCGAAGAACCUUACCAGGGUUUGACAUGCAGGAAGUACCGAACCGAAAGGGGAGGGACCCGUAAAGUCGGGAGCUUGCACAGGUGGUGCAUGGCUGUCGUCAGCUCGUGCCGUGAGGUGUUGGGUUAAGUCCCGCAACGAGCGCAACCCUUGUCCUUAGUUGCCAUCGGUCUGGCCGGGCACUCUAAGGAGACUGCCGGCGACGAGCCGGAGGAAGGUGGGGAUGACGUCAAGUCAUCAUGCCCCUUAUGCCCUGGGCUACACACAUGCUACAAUGGCCGGGACAGUAGGCUGCCACUCCGCAAGGAGGCGCUAAUCCCCAAACCCGGUCUCAGUUCGGAUCGCAGGCUGCAACUCGCCUGCGUGAAGCCGGAAUCGCUAGUAACCGUCGGUCAGCCACACGACGGUGAAUACGUUCCCGGGCCUUGUACACACCGCCCGU